GGAUCAGCCCCCCAGGUGGCCGGUGCUGACGCCCGUCUCCCCGCAGCGGAGAACAUGCUCUCCCAGGUGGCCUUCUACCAGCGCACGGACCCGGCCCAGCGUGAGGCCGGGGAGUUCAUGUUCGAGUUCGACCAGGACGAGAUCUUCCACGUGGACCUGGAGAGGAAGGAGACCGUCUGGCGCCUGCCCGACUUCGGCAAGUUCACCAGCUUCGAGGCGCAGGGCGCCCUGGGCAACAUCGCCGUGCUGAAGAAGAACAUGGAGAUCAUGAUCCAGAGGUCGAACCGCACGCGGGCCCAGAACGUGCCCCCUGAGGUGACUGUGUUCCCCGAAGACCCCGUGGAGCUGGGCGAGCCCAACGUCCUGAUCUGCUUUGUGGACAAGUUCUCCCCACCCGUGCUCAGCAUGACGUGGCUGAAGAACGGGCAGGAGGUGAAGGGGGGCGUCUCGGAGACCGACUUCUACCCCCGCCAGGACAACUCCUUCCGCAAGUUCUCCUACCUGCCCUUCCUCCCCAGCCAGGGCGACUUCUACGACUGCCGGGUGGAGCACUGGGGGCUGCCCGAGCCCUUCACGAAGCACUGGGAAGUCCAGGUGCCCACCCCCGUCCCCGAGACCACCGAGACCCUGAUGUGCGCCCUGGGCCUGGCCGUGGGCAUCAUCGGCAUCAUCGUGGGCACCAUCCUCAUCAUCAAGGGCAUGAAGAUGAACGCCGCCCGCAACCCGCGGGGCCCCUUAUAAACGCCGGGAGAAGCCGGGGCCCCUGAAUCCUUCCCAGAUGCCUUCCUGAGACCCGCUCACAGCCCCCACCCCCUCCAGCUCUGCCCCCAGCGUCCCUGCUCCGUGCCCAUUGGUGCCAGCUGCUGUACCCAGGCGGGGCCCCCCGACCCCGUAACCGCGCCAAGCCAAGCUGCUAGAGACUCCCUGGGGAGCCGGCCCCACAGGCGGGCCCUGCACCCCCGCUGGGCUUGGGAUGGGGGCACCUAUCCAGGGAGAGGGCUGCUGCCCCAUGGGGCUGGGAAUGGGGGUGGCCCCUCGUCAGGGGGCAGCAGGGCCCACGGGGCUGAUCCAAACCCCAUUGCCAUUGUGGGGAAGGUUUCUCUUGACUGGAUUGGGCCCCGAGCCCGGCCCCUGUUGGCCAGAGGCUGCUGUCAGGCACCCCAGGUAAAGCCCCUCCAGCCGUUACCCAGAAGGCUUUGGGCCAGAUUUGGCCAUUCCCAGUCAAUGGGGUCCCUGUGGGAUGGGAUCGGGUCCAUGGCUGGGGGUGGGGCAGCCCCAGCGCCCGGCUAAAGGCCCCAUGGCACCCAUGUGUGGCUCCCCCGGGUCCAAGGGCCCAGCGCGGGGUCUGUGUGGGAAGGGCCCAGUCCCUGUAUAGCCCCCGCCCCGUGUGUGUCCACAGCCCGGCCGCCCCCGAUCUUGCUCUGCAGCUUUGCGAACAGCAAUAAAGUGGAUUUUGGGGACGUUUCUGAGUUUUUUAUCAGUCUGGGCCGUGCCCGCGGCAGCCUGUGUUAGCCCAGCCCAGCUGCAGUCAGUCCAGGGGGCCUGGGUUAUAGCGGGAAUUAAGGGCGUUUGGUAGAAGGGCUAAGGAAGGGGCCAGGACUCCUGGGUUCUGUCCGAGCUCUGGGAGGGGAGUGCAGUCUAAUGUGUGAGACCAGGGGGACGGGAGCCAGGACUCCUGGGUUCUGUCCGAGCUCUGGGAGGGGAGUGCAGUCUAAUGUGUGAGACCAGGGGGAUGGGAGCCAGGACUCCUGGGUUCUGUCCGAGCUCUGGGAGGGUGUGACGAAGUGGGACUGUUCUUAAUGUUUCCUCUGAAUAGUGUGGGGGUGCCUCAGUUUCCCCUAGGCAGUUCUUAAGUAUCUAGGGGGUGGGGUAAGGGUGUAUGAUCAUUGCAGAGCCCUAGAGGGCAGGUGUGUGCAGGGGUCUGGACACAGAGAAUGGCCGACACCCUGUUUCCUGGCCACUGAUGGCCUGGGCCCUUCCCCCCCUGCAAGGUGAGAGCUGAAGGGUUGGAGAACAAAGGAAUCCGGUGCCCUCCUGGAGGGAGUUUCAGUUUGGGGCUGGCUGGGACAUGGAGUGAGGUGCAGACAGGGUUGUCUGGCUCACUGGCCCCCAAAAUGGACCCAGCUGAGGGCUCCGGUUCU